AACGAACGCUGGCGGCAGGCUUAACACAUGCAAGUCGAGCGCCCCGCAAGGGGAGCGGCAGACGGGUGAGUAACGCGUGGGAACGUGCCCUUUGGUUCGGAACAACUCCGGGAAACUGGAGCUAAUACCGGAUAAGCCCUUCGGGGGAAAGAUUUAUCGCCAAAGGAUCGGCCCGCGUCUGAUUAGCUAGUUGGUGAGGUAAUGGCUCACCAAGGCGACGAUCAGUAGCUGGUCUGAGAGGAUGAUCAGCCACACUGGGACUGAGACACGGCCCAGACUCCUACGGGAGGCAGCAGUGGGGAAUAUUGGACAAUGGGCGCAAGCCUGAUCCAGCCAUGCCGCGUGAGUGAUGAAGGCCUUAGGGUUGUAAAGCUCUUUUGUCCGGGAAGAUAAUGACUGUACCGGAAGAAUAAGCCCCGGCUAACUUCGUGCCAGCCGCCGCCGUAAUAC
rnacentral:rRNA from 1 species